rnacentral:rRNA from 2 species
CCCUUCGGGGUGUGACUGCGUACCUUUUGUAUAAUGGGUCAGCGACUUAUAUUCUGUAGCAAGGUUAACCGUAUAGGGGAGCCGGAGGGAAACCGAGUCUUAACCGGGCGUUAAGUUGCAGGGUAUAGACCCGAAACCCGGUGAUCUAGCCAUGGGCAGGUUGAAGGUUGGGUAACACUAACUGGAGGACCGAACCGACUAAUGUUGAAAAAUUAGCGGAUGACCUGUGGCUGGGGGUGAAAGGCCAAUCAAACCGGGAGAUAGCUGGUUCUCCCCGAAAGCUAUUUAGGUAGCGCCUCGUGAAUUCAUCUCCGGGGGUAGAGCACUGUUUCGGCUAGGGGGCCAUCCCGGCUUACCAACCCGAUGCAAACUGCGAAUACCGGAGAAUGUUAUCACGGGAGACACACGGCGGGUGCUAACGUCCGUCGUGAAGAGGGAAACAACCCAGACCGCCAGCUAAGGUCCCAAAGUCAUGGUUAAGUGGGAAACGAUGUGGGAAGGCCCAGACAGCCAGGAUGUUGGCUUAGAAGCAGCCAUCAUUUAAAGAAAGCGUAAUAGCUCACUGGUCGAGUCGGCCUGCGCGGAAGAUGUAACGGGGCUAAACCAUGCACCGAAGCUGCGGCAGCGAACGUAUCACCCAAGACAACUUUACGGAGUUGACGAUUGACGGAGCGAAGCGACGUCAAAGCGUUCAUUAAAGUCGAGUUGGCUUAGGGAUACGUUCGUUGGGUAGGGGAGCGUUCUGUAAGCCUGUGAAGGUGUGUCGUGAGGCAUGCUGGAGGUAUCAGAAGUGCGAAUGCUGACAUAAGUAACGAUAAAGCGGGUGAAAAGCCCGCUCGCCGGAAGACCAAGGGUUCCUGUCCAACGUUAAUCGGGGCAGGGUGAGUCGACCCCUAAGGCGAGGCCGAAAGGCGUAGUCGAUGGGAAACGGGUUAAUAUUCCCGUACUUGGUGUUACUGCGAAGGGGGGACGGAGAAGGCUAUGUUGGCCGGGCGACGGUUGUCCCGGUUUAAGCGUGUAGGUGUGUGUUCCAGGUAAAUCCGGUU